ACCGUAAGGAGCGGUGGACUGGUUACGAGUGAGAAUGUUGGCAUCAGUAGCGAGAUGUGGGUGAGAAUCCCACAGGCCGAAAACCUAAGGUUUCCUCAGGAAGGUUCGUCCGCUGAGGGUUAGUCGGGACCUAAGCCGAGGCCGAAAGGCGUAGGUGAUGGACAACUGGUUGAUAUUCCAGUACCACUACCAUCGUUAUUAUCGAUGGCGUGACGCAGGAGGAUAGUGUGUGCUAGCUAUUGGAUGCUAGUCUAAGCGUUUAGGCAGUGAGAGUAGGCAAAUCCGCUCUCAUAAUGCUGAGGCGUGAUGGGGAAGGUUCYACGGAACCGAAGUACAUGAUUCCACGCUGCCAAGAAAAGCGUCUAGAGAGAGAAGUAGUGCCCGUACCGCAAACCGACACAGGUAGGUGAGGAGAGAAUCCUAAGGCCGGCGGAAGAAUUACAGUUAAGGAACUCGGCAAAUUGACCCCGUAAGUUCGCGAGAAGGGGUGCCUACGAGAGUAGGCCGCAGAGAAUAGGCCCAAGCAACUGUUUAGCAAAAACACAGGUCUCUGCUAAAGCGUAAGCUGAUGUAUAGGGGCUGACGCCUGCCCGGUGCUGGAAGGUUAAGGGGAACACUUAGCGCAAGCGAAGGUGUGAACUUAAGCCCCAGUAAACGGCGGCCGUAACUAUAACGGUCCUAAGGUAGCGAAAUUCCUUGUCAGGUAAGUUCUGACCCGCACGAAUGGCGUAAUGACUUGGGCACUGUCUCAACUGUAAAUCCGGCGAAGUUGUAGUGCGAGUGAAGAUGCUCGCUACCCGCGAUUGGACGGAAAGACCCCGUAGAGCUUUACUGUAGCUUAGCAUUGAGUUUUGGUAUUGUCUGUACAGGAUAGGUGGGAGACUAGGAAACCAGGGCGUCAGCCUUGGUGGAGUCAACCUUGGGAUACCACCCUGACAGUACUGAAAUUCUAACUGGCGGCCAUGAAUCUGGUCACAGGACAUUGUUAGGUGGGCAGUUUGACUGGGGCGGUCGCCUCCUAAAAAGUAACGGAGGCGCCCAAAGGUUCCCUCAGAACGGUCGGAAAUCGUUCGAAGAGUGCAAAGGCAGAAGGGAGCCUGACUGCGACACCCACAAGUGGAGCAGGGACGAAAGUCGGGCUUAGUGAUCCGGUGGUACCUCGUGGGAGGGCCAUCGCUCAACGGAUAAAAGCUACCUCGGGGAUAACAGGCUGAUCUCCCCCAAGAGUCCACAUCGACGGGGAGGUUUGGCACCUCGAUGUCGGCUCGUCGCAUCCUGGGGCUGAAGUAGGUCCCAAGGGUUGGGCUGUUCGCCCAUUAAAGCGGCACGCGAGCUGGGUUCAGAACGUCGUGAGACAGUUCGGUCCCUAUCCGUCGCGGGCGUAGGAAAUUUGAGAGGAGCUGUCCUUAGUACGAGAGGACCGGGAUGGACUGACCUCUGGUGUACCAGUUGUUCCGCCAGGAGCACAGCUGGGUAGCUAAGUCGGGAAUGGAUAAACGCUGAAAGCAUCUAAGCGUGAAGCCAACCUCAAGAUGAGAUUUCCCAUAGCGUAAGCUAGUAAGAUCCCUUGA
rnacentral:rRNA from 1 species